GAAUGAGGCAUGCACUGUGGAUCACAAGUCUUAAGUAGGUGCUGAUGUGUUUUGAAUAGUGGAGUAUAUUUUAAAUUCAAAUUUAUGUGAAUUAAUAAGCAAUCUCCCAUGUUUAUACUCUCAUUAUUAUGUGUAGGCCAUCCUCGAGGUGAUUAUCAAGCUUUUUUUUUAUUAUUAUUUAUUUUUUAAAUCUCUUAAGCUCAAUUCAAUGGCAUGAAUUAUCCUAGUAGUGAGUUAUGCAUACUUCCCAACUUCCCUUUGGUGGAUGAACAAUCCAAAAGCUAGAGAAUAUUUCUCCAGUCAUCUUAUUGGGAACUCUUCUUGCUUGUCUUUUGCCUACUGUAUGAUUUGUCAUGACAUCACCUUUAUUUAUAAUGCUAAAAAUAAUGUUGUUUUUCGAGAUAAUUUUAUCAAUUUCUUAGCCCUUAAUUGCCUGCAAGUUUUAGCUUUUAUAUUGAGUGAUUUCAGUCACCAAGCCCAAGCCCAACUGGCUUCAAGCUUGAUCUUUUAGAUAAUGCUUAUUCUAUUUUUUAAUUACUUCAUGAAUCUUGUUUUGCUCUCUACUGUGGCCAUUAAAUCAAUAUUUUCUGCUUCUAGAUAGGGAUGAUUUGCAAUUAUCAUAAAUCUUCAUUGAUGAUGAAAUUUUCAAUCGCAUGUUUCUCUUGGGAAUGUUUGAAACACUAUUCCACUAGUCACUUUCUGAUUGACCACAUUCACCUCUAUUUCUUGAUCAAUCUUUAAGUCUCCCUAUGCAAUUCUUACCUGAAAAUUAAUAUAAUUAAGGAUGCUCCUGGACAAAUGCUUAUCAUCAUUCAUUUCCUUUUGCAACAGCAUGGAGAAGAUCCUUGAACGAUAUGAAAGGUAUUCUUAUGCUGAGAGGCAGCUCACAGCUGACCUUAAUUCACAGGAGAAUUGGACCCUGGAGUACAACAGACUCAAGGCAAAGGUUGAGCUUUUACAGAGAAACCUUAGGCAUUACAUGGGAGAAGAUAUAGACUCGUUGAGCCUGAAAGAGCUGCAAAACUUGGAGCAGCAGCUUGAAACUGCUCUCAAGCACAUUCGGACUAGAAAAAACCAACUAAUGUACGAGUCCAUCUCUGAGCUUCAGAAAAAGGAGAAGGCAAUACAAGAGCAAAAUAGCAUGCUAGCAAAGCAGAUUAAGGAGAAUGAGAAGGCAGUGGCACAGCAGGCACUCUGGGAGCAGCAUAACCAUGGAACUAAUAUGUCACCCUUCCUUCUGCCUCAGCCACCGCUCCCAUGUCCAAACAUUGGUGGCACUUACCAGGAAGAAGCACCAGAAGGGAGGAGGAACGAGCUUGACCUUACCCUGGAGCCAAUAUACUCUUGCCACCUUGGAUGCUUCACCACAUGAAAAUGGUGACAAAAGGGAAAGAUACAUAAUGCUCUAAUGGGUAAUUGCAGGCCAUAAAGUUUUUGGCUUUUUAAUAUAGACUUGGAAACAUUGGCUAAGAUAAUUAACAAAAAAUAUCAGAAAAAUUGAUGUGACUAAGACUUGAUCAUCUUGGACGCUUUUGCAUAUAUCUAAUGUAACAAAUCUUCUAUCUUGAUAUGCAUGAUAAAUGAAUAUACG
rnacentral:misc_RNA from 1 species